rnacentral:lncRNA from 1 species
UUUGUGCAUUUUAAGUUGAGCAAGAAGUACUUUUCCUGAUGUUACGAUAGUAAAGACACACUGACAUGCUCUAAAUGAAGCUGCCAUAAGUUUCUUCACUCCCUGUGAAAUAAAACAGUCUAGGAGUCAAGGUUGUGAUGUCACUGAUUUUAAAGGUUACUUUCUUAAACAAUAUGACAGGUUGGACAAAGUUUUUGGACACAUUUAAUUGAAUUCAUUUCAUUUUGAUUUUUCUUCAAGGCAAAUGUCAUUCGCCCUCAUAUAAAAGAAAACUGUAUAAAAUGUAUCAGACAUACUUUAAAAUGAAGGUUAAUAUCCCUCUAUAUUUGUACCAAUGUGUUCUCUCUGGAUAAACCUUAAAACAUGUCUUUUUACACAGUGUUUGUGUGAAAUUGUUCUAAUAAUGUUCUAAUAAUGUGUUUUAGACACUGGAGCCUGUGGACCAGCUCCUCCAGAGUGUGGACCCAGCCAAAGACAGAGAGCUUUGGGUGCGGGAGCACAAGACAGGAGAUCUGAGACCUGUGGACAUGGAUAUCUAAAGAACAUGGACUUCAGAACAGCAGAAAAACACACAUACAUUACACACACACACACACACAAACUCAAACAUACUACACCCAAACUAUCUACGCCUACCUGUCUGUCUACCACACUACUCCAAGUUCUCGGCCAAAGCCAUACAGGACAGUUUAAUAGCAGAGUGCAAGAACAUCCUCCACUCAGCACCCUGCACUUUUUUUCACGUGAAGAAAAAGCCACUAAGUACUACGGUUCAAACUGAUCUGAUUGAAAACACAAUGAUCUCAGUAUUUCAGGAUAUCAUUUCAAGGUAGAAUUGCUUAAACAUUACGGUGACACUUAUUUUACAGUUUGUUACAAUUAAAGAAAUAUUUGCGUGAAAAAAAAAGAAUAACAUGAUUUAUCACUUACCCCAGAUUUAGUAGAUCAGCCAAAUAUAGUUUGGACAUAAUUUAACUAUAAUAAUACUUAUAAUACUAUAUAUAAUAAGGAGAGUUAAAAAAUUAUGACAUCUCUAAAUGUGGACGAUAUUUCUAAAUGAUUGUGUACUGUAUAUAAAGUGUCUGAUAUAUGUUUUGUGUUACUAUUUAGUACACAACCAAAACAGCCCAUUUAUUCAUGCCUAUGUUAAACAGCCACGGGUAGGCCUGUCUUGAUAAUUACAUUAACAACUUAUCGUAAAAUAUAUGAAAACAAUAUAAAACCCUAUAAUUGGACUUAUCGAGGAGGACCCAUAAAUGUUAGCUUUGUCUACAAACAAUGGAUUUAUUUUAAUAUAUUAUUAUAUUUUUAUAAGUUACUGUAUAGGUCUGUAACAAUACAUAUAUUAUCGACAGAACAACUCUGGAAAAAAAUAAUUGACCACUGAAUCAGAUUCUUUGAUUUUGCUAUUUAUAAGUGUAUAUUUGAGUAAAAUGAACAUUGUUGUUUUAUUCUAUAAACUACAAACCAAGUUUCUCCCAAAUUCUAAAUAAAAAUAUCGUCAUUUAGAGCA